GUCAGCACACCAGCCAGGGCACACAGUGCCCCAACCAGCAUCCCAGACCACGUCUUGGGAUACAUGUCUCCAUAGCCCAGUGUCGUCAUGGUGACCACAGCCCACCAGAAGCCGAUGGGGAUGUUCUUGAAGUAGGUGUGGUUGGAGCCCAGGAUGUCGUCAGGAUCAGCCCCGAUGCGUUCGGCAUAGUAGAUCAUGGUGGCAAAGAUGAGGACCCCCAGAGCCAGGAAGAUGAUGAGUAACAAGAAUUCGUUGGUGCUGGCCCGGAGCGUGUGGCCCAGCACACGCAGCCCCACGAAGUGACGGGUCAGCUUGAAGAUACGAAGGAUGCGCACGAAGCGGACGACACGCAGGAAGCCCAGCACGUCCUUGGCAGCUUUGGAGCUGAGACCUGACAGGCCCACUUCCAAGUAGAAGGGCAAGAUGGCCACGCAGUCGAUGAUGUUCAGGCUGCUUUUGAGAAACUCCACCUUAUCUGGGCAGAAGGUGACCCGCAUGAGAAACUCAAAGGUGAACCAGACCACACACACGCCUUCCACGUAGGUCAAGAAGGGUUCCGUCUCCACCUCCACGUUGGUGAUAUUCUCCGGGGGAGCCCCAGGGAUUGGGGAGGCCUGCGUCACCGUCUUGUUGCUGAUGUGGAUGAAGCCCUCGUGUGUCUCCAGGCAGAAGGUGGUGAUGGAGAUGAGGAUAAAGAAUAGGGAGGCGAAGGCCACAUACUGCAGGGGGACGGGAAAGAGAAUGGGGGUGACUGACUUGUUUGUAUCACUGGCUUCUAAAGAACUUGGUGGUGGCCUCACGGUCCCCACUUCAGGACCCAAAUCCUACAAGAAUCCAAGCGUUCCCAUUUAAUGCUUCCGCCACUUCUAGCAAUCAGUUCUGAGACAGGAACAGAGGCUCAGGGCAGGAGCUUGCCACAGUGACCCAGGGAAAGAGCCCUUUCUGGGUUCUGUAUCAGGGUUCCCCAGAAGGAUUCAAAUAUUCUACUCUCAGGUGGGGAUGAGAAAGAAUACAACACUGCCCAUGUCUCAGAGGUUUGGUUCUCAGCCUGGAGCUGGGGAAGGGAGAGGGCAGGUGGCGACAUGGGGGGACACUAGCCAUGACAGCCUGAUGCACGUGGAUGAGCACUAUGCCCCCAGACUCAUUCCCAGCCCUCUUUAUAUAUUUUGAGACAGGGUCUCUGAUUUAACCAGGCUGGCUUUGAACGUACACAGGCCACUAAGCCCGGCUCAAAAACCUGGGUUUGAAUUGGUCAAAUUGGAGCAAGGGUUAAGCUUUCUGAAUCUGUAUUUUGUUUUUUAAUGGAAUUGUUAUGAAGAUUUGGUGAGUGUACAGAGGGCUUGCUUCCAAAAACAGUGCUUGGCUGAAUGCCUAGAACACAGUGAGAUCCGAGCUGUUACUAGGGUACGGUGAUCAGUUAGUGUGGGGCAAGGAUGAGGGGGUCAGAGAAUGGCUAGGAUCUAAGGACCUCAUUGUCAGUAUCCCACUGCAAACAGAGACGGGGAGGGGGGGCAGUUCAAGGAUGUUGGGAAGCGGAAGGGGUAAGGCUUUACUGGGUUCAGGCUAAGGAGAAGAAAGAAAUGAGGAACAAAAAGCCUUGUGGAUGGAGACGGGUUAUGGUUCUGAAGAGAUAAAUUCAGGGGCCUAGACUAUGGGCCAGAGUCCAAUAACUGGAGGGUGAGUAGGCCCUGGGUCUUAGGGUAGGGUUAGGAGAGUGGUCAGUAGUGUAGACCACCUACUUGAUUUCUCCGCAGUGGAGAAGAGGCCAGAGGCCUCUGCAGAGCGCAUGCCCGGAGCCUCCCCUCCCCCACCUGCAGGCUGCAGCACUGCAGUGGAGGCGGGUCGACCCGGCCCGGAGGAGGGCGCGAGGCGGCCAGAACCAUGGACAGCUCCCCCAGCCGCAGUGCGCAGCCGCAGUGCUCUGAAUGCCUUAACUCCUUCCAGGCUAAAGCGCCGCAAGUCAGCGCGCAGCCGCAGUGCCUAUGGCUUAGGCUUCAUGGCUAGAGGCCACCUAUCCUACAACUUGCGUAACCCCUUCCUUCCCAGGGACCCGCGGAAGGGUGGGCAGCCACUACAGCGCACAGGUGCAGGGUUGGUUUCCCCUGGAGUGACCCUUAAGCAGAAGGCAUGGAGGGGUACCAAGGCUCUGUAAGAAGGAAAAGAAAGCGGAGUCAGAAGGACUGGACCCUGAGCUUGGAGGUGGUUUACGGUCCCAACUUGCAAGAAGGUCCACCUGGAGGUUGGAAAGUACCGGCACACAGUAGAUACUCAAAUAAAUAAUUUUUAAAAACAGUACAAAUAAA
rnacentral:lncRNA from 1 species